UGAACAAAACUGCCAAGUUGGCACUUGUCAUGAUUUUAUUUUUAAGGCACACUGUCGCGUGGUUGCUGCAUAGCCAGGGUUGCACCAAACCUGCCCUCCAUUGCCUUUUGCACCUCAUAGCUAACGAGUAGUGGCCAGAACGGUGCUUUUCGUUGCUGGUACAGUCUUUGGGAAGCUUCUUCUAAGCACUGUCACACUGGGCAACAAUGCAGCCAACACUACUGUAUUGGCAAAGAAAUGUGUUCUGAGCAACCCUCUCUGACCAAAGCAACAUCAUUUGUUAUGAUAUAUAGUCGUUUUGCUUCAGUUUGACACAACCACUGAAAAUGCACAUCAGCCACGAAAAUACCUUCAUUAUAUUUCAUAUUCAUUAUAGGCUUACACGCAGAAAUUGGCAGAAAAAAUCACGGUCACAUUUACUCAAUAGAAAUGCAAAUGGCAAGAGGUCUUUGCAGAUUUUGAUGGCCCGUCUGCAUCCUGCUGUGCCGAUAUAAGGCACCGGAGCAAUGAUAUUAUAUUUUACUUCACAUAACUCUCGUAUAACCUGCACUCCCAAUUACAAGAUCCUGAAAGAAAAAUAAAUUUGCACUUGUGCGCCUUAUAACAAUGCUGCCAGUUCGGGCUAGUUGACAUAGCCAGAACGUUCUGCAGUGCCUGAAAUUUUGGUUAUUAUUAUUCUAGGGGUAAGUGGCAGGGCCCCAGAGGAAUUCAAAUAAUUGUAUAGGUCUGAAAAAUUGGUCGAUGAUUGUAUUUGGAAUUUUUUGUUACCUGAAUAUAUAUUUUGAGGCACCCGAAACAAAACAUUUGUGUCACUAUAACCAAUACCGAGUUUUGCAACAAAUCUCCAAUAGCUUUUCUGUCUUCUUACGCAGCCUACAUAAAUAGUUAGAUACCACAUUUUCAAUUUCUUUAUAGCAGUAGAAUACCCCAUUGGAAUAAAGCAUGACCAAUCAAAUUUGGUAUUACGUUAUUAUAUCGGAUAAUUUGUUAAAUCUUUGUUAUAUCAAGAUUUGACUGUAUUUGUCGGCAGGGUUAGCCAUUUUGUUGCUUUGUGUGACGGGAGCUUUUACACGCGUUUUGAAUUUCGACAGGUGUGCAUGCCAGAGUGCACCGUCUAUUUGAGUUGCUGAUGCUUAGGCUACAAAUUCAUAUAAGACAAGCGCCACUUUAGUAGGCAGAAAGUUUUUCUUUCUUUUUUUUUAAAGGAGAUAACCUCUUUAAAAUGUACUCGCUGGCAGUCUUUUGGAGCUGCAAAAGCGUGGGGGGCAGGUGACGUGUGUUAGAUCUGUGUAGUAACAUUAGUGGGGCAUUGCUACAUUUGUUGUAGGCUGCUUGCAGUGUUCAAAGCCGUACUGGCCAAUUGGCGAGCGCUUUUGAUUAUGGCAAGCAUAGGGGCUGUACAGCUGGUUACCUUUCAAGCUGCAAAAGUGUUGCCAGCAUGUGUAAGAAGUUCGAGUAAUGAGAAGUACACUUACCUGCAUUUGGUGUAAAAUCAGGGUUUGCAAGGGCUCCCAAUAUGGGUGAAUGCUCUGACUUGUUCCCCACAUCAAUUGUUCCCUCUCAUUGCCAAAAUUGUGCCUAGAUAGCUUGUGUUAAAAUGAAUGUCAGUGACUGGAUAUAAAAAAAAUGUCACAUAUUAAAUGGCACAGAAAUAAAGUAAAAAAUAAAUAAAUUACAAAAUGGAGGGGGCAAUAUUUCCUGAUCCAGAAAUAUGCGAACAUCAAAAUGUCAAGGGUGAGCUCAAGAUAUUUUAUCCAGUUGAUCGUCAGUGUGAAAACUGUCGACAGAAUACUUAACGAUAGCUGCCAAAGGCUAAAUCUAUUUCUUCGAGCAUUCACAGGCUUUCUUCUUGCUCACCUGAUAGAAAUUUUGCAGAGAUACUAAUUGUAAAGGAUACCUGUUCGUCGGGUUUGGAGGUAAACGGGCAGCUCAGUGCGGCAUUUGCUUACCAAAGCAGUGCACAUUUUUGUGAUUUCACGAUACAAAGCGGCAGACAACUAGGCAUGAACAAAUAAACUGGACACACAAAAUGCAAUAUAGGCAAAUGUUGAGAGAGGUAUUGACAGGGCAAAGCAUGGACCAUUUAACAUGGUCACAACACCAAUAUAGUGGCAGGGCAAAGCACGAGUCAUUAAACCUGGUGGCUGCAAGGUGCAGUGAUGAGUGCUUAUAGGAAUGGAGUCAGAGCAUGAGCCCUACUUUUCUUGCGGAGUGGUACUUUAGCAGAAACAUGAAACGACCAGUUGCCAGGUGUUGGCAUGCAGCAAGACCAUUGCAUUAUAUAGUCUCUCUUCCUAGCUCUUUGCUACAAGCCCUCUCGCUAUUUUUCACUUCCACUUUCUUACCUUCCCUCUGUUCAUCUUCUUGUGGUAAGCGUCAUUGUUGCACCUCAAGUACAGGCCUCAGAUGUGUUUGACAUUGUGCGAUCAAAUAGCCAGCACUGCCCUCUCUGCAUUUUUCUGACUGCCACUUGUGUUAACGGCUAGACUAAGUGUUACUCCCAGCGUGGCUUAUGGCAUAUGAAGGUGGGUCCCUCUUCUGGUGCUUCAGCACCUCACGCUUCUUGUGACAUGAGCUGUGCAGGGACGUGGCACUGGUGACGCAAUGCAUUUCCUGUGAGCUAUGACAGAACAUGCCUGUAGCUAUGGCACUCAACAGUAUCAGAUCAUGCACUGUUUCCACUAACAUGGGCGGCUGCCAGGUAGUAAAGCUAUAAGGCAUGGCCGUGCGCAACGUGGUGUUUGUGUUCACGUUGACCAAGACAGACGAAUAGGGCUAUUAUAGUUUGUCCUUGGCUGAAACGUCAAAAUAGAUUUGUUGUUUUUUAAUGUUGACUUCACCAUCCGAAAAUCAACACUAAGGGUGGACAAACUAAAGGACAAGCUAAAUUGGUGUAUUUUCAGCAUCCGCCUGCAAAGGGACGCUUUAAAAAAAUGCUGUCAUUAGAAUUUUGUCUCUUUUUCUUUACUGGAUAGCUGUUUAUUUUGUAACCACGAUAUGAGGUUUUGCUUACUGGGAUGUGGACCAAGUCAUUCAUCACAUCAUAUUUUAAUGUAACCGUUUGAAAAUGCGCACCAAUUGGAGCCGUCAUUUUUGUAAUGUAGGGCGCCCUGCACAGGUUACUUCCAUGAAUCAUGAAAAUCGGAAGGCGGGGGCUCGAGUCGCAUCAUGACCCUUUUGCCAUAAGCUGGGCACACACCUCAUGGGUCAUUGUUCCCUCAUUCACUCUCCAAUUUUCCACAUUUGACGCGAGAUAAGACUCAUCCUCUGCUGUCACUUCUCUCGGAACACGAAACACCCUUCACCUUACCUCAUCUUUUAGCCUGUCAAGGGCCUAAUGUGCACAGGUUUCUGCGAAACAGUUGCACUGGGGCUUACGACCACUAAACCAAGCCUGACUCACCUGCCCGUCAGUAGCUUGCGGUGCCACACGGCCACCACCACUGAUUUCUGUGAUGUAUGGAGGAGUCCUGCUCUACACACCCAUACAUGCUUUCAAUGAAAAAAAGAAAAAUUAUAAAUGGUGGGCGUUUAGAGAGUUUAGGAAUUAAGGCCCAACUUUGCAAUUACACAGUCGCAUCUACCUAUAAAAGCCAAAAAGUGAGGGAGUCUGAGCACCUUCGCUCUGCUAACACUAAUGCAAUACCUCGUAUUGCACACGGCGGUAGUGCUGCCCACGUACUCGCGCAUAGGUGACAGAUCUCCAGUCUGUACUUCUUGCAGGGUGUUGUCUUUCAGUUAACACUGCGCAUACUUGCCUUUGCCUUCCUCCGAUUUUCUGUCUCCCCAGCUGUCGCCCUUUUGAAGCUAUUGCAGUCACAAUGUUGGCUCUAAUAGCUGAAAACCUGUAAACAUUACACUUAGUGCAGAAUGCAAGAGAUCUAUCGCUCUUGUGUGCAAGUCUCAUACCCUAUUGGCUUCUGAAGCUGCACUUAGUUACUGCAGCUCAGUGUAGCAUGAGAACGGCACCAGCUUUGCCCAUAGCAUUGUUUCUGCUGGCUGCAUAGCCUUGUGAUGCACAUGUACCUUGUGAACUAGUUUUUUUCUGCCUCAAACAGCAACAGUGUCAGGAUGGCAGGCAUUGGAAUGAGUUAACGUUUCGCAACAUAUUUUUGCCAUCUUUAGCAUAUUCUAAAGAACAAGGUUAGACCAGGUGGCACGUUCGUGACCUUACUAAUGGCAUGAACUCGCUUAGAGUUGAAACACAGCUGCAGUUGGAGAAAAAAAAAAAGUGCCAUCUGGCCUGCACUGGAACUAGUCAGUAAUGCAUUUUACAGAUGUCAACUGCGCACUUGCCAUGGAUAAAUUAUUCUGUAAAUACUUGAAAUUAUAGACUUUUCUGUGAGAGAAGCUGGUAGCAACAAAAUGGCUUACAGCAGUUGCAACAGUUGCUGUCUUGUAUAUAUAAAGAACAGAGCAGUGUUGCAUUCUGCAUCUAAUAAUAAUAAUAAGAAAAAUUACAAAAUGGCAGCAGUGUGUUUUGAAAACUAGCAUUUGGAUUGGAUUGGACUUUGUUUAUAUCUAUGUCUGCUAGGUCAUGUACUUGCUCUGCACUUAAGAAGUGCAAUUCUUAAGGCAGCCACGUGAAACUUUUCCAACGCAUUUCCAGUGAGGGAUUGCCCAAUAUUAGCAUGUUCAUUUUGCACUGUACGGUAACCAACACUGCUGCGACAGCCAAAGUAUGUACCGCGGUGUAUCUGUUUUGGUCCGUAACCCACACUUUUUACUAGUAAUACCUAAGCGAAAUGUGGCACCGUUGUCUGCUUGCAUUAUCAGUAUUGCUGUCCAGCCAACAUGGUAAUGGUGGGCAGUAGGUCAAUGUGCCUGAGCUUCAUCCUUUUGGGCUUGAAUGACUCAUGAAUUCUUAAAUUAGCUUUUUAAAGCUUAUCCACCACAUAUUUGUGUUAUUGCCAUAAUUAGUCUAUUUUAACAUCUAAUUUCUGCCAUUUGAUUGUUUUCAGAAGGUUGCAAAAGUAAUGUUUGAAAUACAUAGAUUUAGUGGCGCACAUAGUCGAAAAUAUUAAAUUACGUGCCAGAAGUUAUGUAAUAAAAGAACUUGCAUAACUGUUAAACUGCUCUACAGAAAAAAUGUGGCCAGUAUGCAGCAACACACUUGAACCACAAAGAGCAAUAAGUGAAGCUGCAAUGCUUUAACUUAACGAAUUCAUGCUAAAUCAUUAAGAAAUUUGUGCUAUCCGUGAUGCCCUCCCAUGGUGACUGCACAGUUGCCGUACUAGAUUUCGCUGUAGCCAUCUUGGUACAUAUAAAACUCCCUACAGUAACCGCACACUUUGGCUGGGGUUACGGUGCUGCUGUUGCAUGCUGCAAAGCUGCCAUCGGGCAUUUGCGCACCAAAAAUAGACUGAAAACAUGUCACACAUGGUUGCUGCUUCAGGAUCUCUUAACUACAGCCUGUGCCAAAUGUAGCUUGCUGGCUGAUGCUGGCAACAGUUGGUGCUAUGUGCAUGGAGUUAAAGUAGAAGUUGCAGUUUACUAGAGUUUCAUUCUGUGGCAGGCAGAUAACGUUCAGCUGCCUAGUAAAAUGCAAGGCUCUUAGCUGCACACCACACACCUGGCAACAUUUUCUAUGCAUAAAGUGUUAUAGAUUGCUUGUUGUCAAGAGAGCACUAGCAGCUCUGUGCAGUGCUUGAAGCAAAUGAAAUGUAGUUUAUUCUUUGCUAGCAUAGUAGUGCAUUGCAAUAUUCAAAAUUGUGCUUGUUCAAAAUUACUGAUAGUGAUUAUGUUCUUGCUUCAGUACUGCCUUUAAAUUGUAAUUCCCGUGCAUCAGAUUACAAACUUUUUUUUUUAUGUU